rnacentral:rRNA from 1 species
UGGAGGAAAGCAGGGGAUCGUAAGACCUUGCGCUUUUGGAGUGGCCGAUGCCUGAUUAGCUAGUUGGUGGGGUAAGAGCCUACCAAGGCGACGAUCAGUAGUUGGUCUGAGAGGACGACCAGCCACACUGGGACUGAGACACGGCCCAGACUCCUACGGGAGGCAGCAGUGGGGAAUUUUGGACAAUGGGCGGAAGCCUGAUCCAGCAAUGCCGCGUGAGUGAAGAAGGCCUUCGGGUUGUAAAGCUCUUUCAGCUGGGAAGAAAAGGCUGCGACUAAUAAUCGCAACUUAUGACGGUAUCGACAGAAGAAGCACCGGCUAACUACGUGCCAGCAGCCGCGGUAAUACGUAGGGUGCGAGCGUUAAUCGGAAUUACUGGGCGUAAAGGGUACGCAGGCGGCUCUGUAAGUCAGAUGUGA